rnacentral:misc_RNA from 1 species
GUAGGUGAACCUGCGGAAGGAUCAUUAACGAGAGAUGUGUGGGGUGUGGUGCUGUAAGGUGAUGUUGUAGAGUGAUGGAAUGAUGGGUUUAAUCACCCAACUCCAUCUCCAUCUCCAACUCAUCCUAUACGCUCGCCUCAACAAACGCAAGGCAUUUGCCUUGUUUCACGCUUGUCUUUGUUUGUCAAACUAACUACUUUACUUUUAUGAAUGAUAACUUUUAACAAUGGAUCUCUUGGCUCUUGCAUCG